rnacentral:rRNA from 1 species
GACGUAGGGCGCGAGCGUUGUCCGGAUUUAUUGGGCGUAAGGAGCUCGUAGGCGGCUUGUCGCGUCGUCCGUGAAAACCUGCGGCUCAACUGCAGGCUUGCGGUCGAUACGGGCAGGCUAGAGUUCGGUAGGGGAGACUGGAAUUCCUGGUGUAGCGGUGAAAUGCGCAGAUAUCAGGAAGAACACCCGUGGCUAAGGCGGCUCUCUAGUACGGUACUGACGCUGAGACGCGAAAGCGUGGGGAGCGAACAGG